rnacentral:miRNA from 1 species
CAACAGUCUCAGGAUGGAAAA